GUGAGAGCUUAAAAUAACUGAUAGUGAAAAACAGUUACAGAAGCUCUAGGCCGGGCACGGUGGCUAAUGCCUGUAAUCCCAGCACUUUGGGAGGCCGAGGAGGAUGGAUUGCCAGAACUCAGGAGUUUGAGACCAGCCUGGGCAACACGCUCCCCUCAAUGGGAAGUAGAAUCUCUUUCUCCACCUCUUCAAUAUGGCUGGCCCUGGAACUUCCCUUGGCACACAGAAUGCAGCAGAAUUGGCUUCAUGUUGUUUCUAAGCCUUGGCCUCAGAGGCCUUGCAUGCUUCCUAACCCUGGCUCUAGGAAACUUGCUGCUGUCAUGUAAGCAAGCCCAGGCUAACCUACUGAAUGUUGGUGUGUCCCAGUCAAAUCCAGCACUGCAACCAAUAGCCAGGCAGCCACCAGACAUGUGAGUGGGGCCACCUCACACCAGCCAACCUCCACCAAGUCAUCAGAUGUAUGAGUGAGAACAGCCCAGAACAACUGAGCCCGUCCAGACCAGCGGAACAACCAAGCUGACCAGUAGACUUAGGAGCAGUAAACAGAUGAUUGUUAUGGAAGCCAUUCUGUUUAGGGUGUGUGUGUUAUUGCUUGCAUCCAAAUACAUCCUAUCUCAUCUAAUGAGAAAAGGCCCUGCUCAAGGGCUUUUGCAGCUGUAGUUGGGCGCCGGAAGUGUCUUUGUGGUCAUUUCUUACUCCAUACACGGGGAGAUCAAGGCUCAGACCAGGUAGUGUGACUGUGGACAACACUUUCCUUACCCCUCUGUGACACUUAAAUCAAUGAAGCAGAUUCACAGAAGCAUGCAUGCUCACUGAACACAGUAUUUGCAUUCCUACCUCCAAACCUUUGCUCCACCCAUGCAUCCAGUAAGAAUGCCUACUUCCCUCCUCUCCUCCAUCGAGUUCUUUCUUUGAGUUCUACCUUCCCUAGUCUUCCUCCACUGCACCAACCCACGGUGAUCCCUGUCUCUUCCAAAUGCUUUGUAACAUGGUAGGCAUCACUCACUUGUGACUCAUUGGACCAUUUUAAAACUUGGUUUUCUGUGUCUCUUUUCCAACAAAAUUACAAAUUCUUUGAGGGUAAAAGUCAGGCCUAAUAGUUCUCUGUACUCCUAGUAGUGCCAGUGUGGUAAAAAUUUAACUUGACAAUUAGCAAAACCAAUAAAUUCCUUACACUAUUCUGUUCCUGUAGGUAAUCAGUAUAUGAAUAUGGAUUCCUAUGUGAUGAUUUUCUGGUCUAUUUUGUCCCUUUUUUUUUUUUGUUACUUUAACCAGGCCAUAACAUAAAGGUUAUGCCAUUUGUUACUGUCAAGCUUAAUUAAGCCCAUUAUAAUUCGUUAACCCCUGUGCUUGCUUUGUAAUUAACAUUGAUUAACACAAACAAGUACAAAAUAGGCCAUCAGCACUUUCCAGAAGUGCUGAUUACAAUUACAUUGGUAAUUCAAUACGGUAUAGAAGAUGGCAGGAUAGUAACUUGCACUCUGUUUACAUAAGGAGACAAAUGCUACCAUGCAAAACUAAGCCAAGAAACAAAAUACUUUCCUCAUCCAACUCACUGAUUAAACCCUUACCCUGUUAACUCACCCUAUGACUGUGUAAACCUCCAGUAAGAUUAUUGAAGGCACAGCUCCAAGUAACUUGCUUAAUUGCAUUCCUGGGACAAAAGAGGGAAGCGCUUCAAAGCUGACAGACAGAUGGUAGAGUGUCCAGUCACAGCAAAGCAGGCCCCGAGGCUCAUGACAGACAACUCCAGGGCUGAGAUCUCAUUUGUAGCUCUGGGAUAAAGUCCAGGGUUUGAUGGCAGCAGGCUGAAGUGUAAAGAUGCUCAACAAUGCGCACCCCAGAGACACUGAAUCUGAAAAAGCUUAGAGUGAAUAAAAAUCUGGAAAUGAACUCUGUCUGUCUAUUCACCAUUCCCCCCAUAAAAAAAUUCCUAUAUUCCGGAUGGUGUUCAAGUUCCCUUUCCACAGGACCUCAGCAGUCAGGGAGGUGCUCCUGCAAUCUAUGUGAAGGAGAUUUCACCAUGCCCACAUGGGAAUACAGUAGAUUGCCAGUAGGGAUGCCACACCUUUGCAUUUCCUCGUAUUUCCAGGAACAAAGCUGGGGUGCCUAGGAGCUGCAGCAGUUUUUCUUCUGUGUAAAAUAAGCAAGCAGGACUCUGCCCCACUGCACUCCAGGGAAGGAUUAAGAGAAUUGAUAUCAUCCAAAUCAAUUGGCCCUGUGCAGAUGACUUGAUAAUGAGGCCAUUGAGUUUUUAUGGUUCACUAUUAUUGCUACAAAAAUUAUGCUGCAGAAAUCAUUCAAAUGCUCAAAAAGGAGCAUUAGUACGAAACUGGGUGUUCCAAAGUUGUUGCUGAGAGGUGUGUAAUGUUCCUGAAGAUCCCCAAGGCACUAAGACUUCUCUGUACAUGAAUGACUCAUAGAGAAGAAAUACACCAGAUGAAAAUAUAUGGAGAAGUUUGCCGAAUGUCAUAUAACUU
rnacentral:lncRNA from 1 species